GACGAACGCUGGCGGCGUGCUUAACACAUGCAAGUCGAACGGUGAAGCGCCUUCCUUUUUGGUGGGUGUGGAUGAGUGGCGAACGGGUGAAUAACACGUGAGUAACCUGCCCCCUUCUUCUGGAUAACCGCAUGAAAGUGUGGCUAAUACGGGAUAUUCUGGGUCUGUCGCAUGAUGGGUCUGGGAAAGAUAUUGUUUCGGUGGGGGAUGGGCUCGCGGCCUAUCAGCUUGUUGGUGGGGUGAUGGCCUACCAAGGCGGUGACGGGUAGCCGGCCUGAGAGGGUGGACGGUCACACUGGGACUGAGACACGGCCCAGACUCCUACGGGAGGCAGCAGUGGGGAAUAUUGCACAAUGGGCGCAAGCCUGAUGCAGCGACGCCGCGUGAGGGAUGGAGGCCUUCGGGUUGUGAACCUCUUUCGCCAGUGAAGCAGGCCUGCCUCGUUUGUGGGUGGGUUGACGGUAGCUGGAUAAGAAGCGCCGGCUAACUACGUG
rnacentral:rRNA from 1 species